rnacentral:rRNA from 1 species
UACGUAGGGUGCAAGCGUUGUCCGGAAUUAUUGGGCGUAAAGAGCUCGUAGGCGGUUUGUCGCGUCUGCUGUGAAAACUCGGGGCUUAACUCCGGGCCUGCAGUGGGUACGGGCAGACUAGAGUGCGGUAGGGGAGACUGGAAUUCCUGGUGUAGCGGUGAAAUGCGCAGAUAUCAGGAGGAACACCGGUGGCGAAGGCGGGUCUCUGGGCCGUAACUGACGCUGAGGAGCGAAAGCCAGGGGAGCGAACGGG